rnacentral:rRNA from 1 species
AUUGAACGCUGGCGGCAUGCUUUACACAUGCAAGUCGAACGGCAGCACGGACUUCGGUCUGGUGGCGAGUGGCGAACGGGUGAGUAAUACAUCGGAACGUACCCAGUAAUGGGGGAUAACUAUCCGAAAGGAUAGCUAAUACCGCAUACGCCCUACGGGGGAAAGAGGGGGAUCGCAAGACCUCUUGUUAUUGGAUCGGCCGAUGGCUGAUUAGCUAGUUGGUAGGGUAAAGGCCUACCAAGGCAACGAUCAGUAGCGGGUCUUAGAGGACGAUCCGCCACACUGGAACUGAGGCACGGUCCAGACUCCUACGGGAGGCAGCAGUGGGGAAUCUUGGACAAUGGGCGCAAGCCUGAUCCAGCAAUGCCGCGUGCGUGAAGAAGGCCUUCGGGUUGUAAAGCGCUUUUGUCAGGGAGCAAAUCCUUGUGGCUAAUACCCACCGGGGAUGAGAGUACCUGAAGAAUAAGGACCGGCUAACUACGUGCCAGCCGCCGCCGUAAUAC